CACGUAGGGGGGCAAGCGUUGUCCGGAUUUAUUGGGCGUAAAGAGCCCGUAGGCGGCUCACUAAGUCGGGUGUGAAAUUUCGAGGCUCAACCUCGAAACGCCACCCGAUACUGGUGUGGCUAGAGUCCGGUAGGGGAGCGUGGAAUUCCUGGUGUAGCGGUGAAAUGCGCAGAUAUCACUUGGAACGCCAACGGUGAAAACAGCUCGCUGGGGGUAUCCUGACACUGAGACACGGAAAGCCAGGGGAGCAAACGGG
rnacentral:rRNA from 1 species